CCCUCCUCUCCCUAUCCUGACCCUCAGCCCACUCUCCUCCCCAGCCCAAUGGCCAGCAGCAGCAGCGCUUCCCUCCCCCGGCCCGCUCGCGCCACCCAGCCCACCAGCGCCUCCCACCAAUCUCCUCUCUCCCCAGCGGCUGAUGGGUGGGGCCCAUCUGUCAGUUCCUCCUUCCCCUCCAAAUCGCCCCCUCCCUCUCCCCUUUCUCUGCCACAGUGUAACCGCAGGCCGCUCCCAUGUUCCCCCCCCGC
rnacentral:lncRNA from 1 species